AUUGAACGCUGGCGGCAUGCCUUACACAUGCAAGUCGAACGGCAGCACGGGAGCAAUCCUGGUGGCGAGUGGCGAACGGGUGAGUAAUAUAUCGGAACGUGCCCAGUAGUGGGGGAUAGCCCGGCGAAAGCCGGAUUAAUACCGCAUGAGACCUGAGGGUGAAAGCGGGGGAUCGCAAGACCUCGCGCUAUUGGAGCGGCCGAUAUCAGAUUAGCUAGUUGGUGGGGUAAAGGCCUACCAAGGCAACGAUCUGUAGUUGGUCUGAGAGGACGACCAGCCACACUGGGACUGAGACACGGCCCAGACUCCUACGGGAGGCAGCAGUGGGGAAUUUUGGACAAUGGGCGCAAGCCUGAUCCGGCAAUGCCGCGUG
rnacentral:rRNA from 1 species